GCCAGCAGCCAUAUCACCCUGCAACUCACAACUGGUAACCCACUGAAGCUAGGAGGUGUGAGCCUGGUUACUACCUGGAUGGGAGACCUCCUGGGAAAAACUAAGGUUACUGCUGGAA
rnacentral:rRNA from 1 species